rnacentral:lncRNA from 1 species
GCGGCCUUCUGAAGACCUACUGGAGCUCAGUUAAGAAACUGAGGGGUUGCACCCCAGUUCUUGUCCUGAGUGAGGGUACGGUUGGUGAUGCGUGACUUUUAUCACACUGAUACCAAGUGGCACCAUGGGCUUACAAAAUCAAUACCAUAUUUGUUCUUGUCCAGUUCCCAAGGCAAAUGGGCUCUGAUGAGCAGGCAAAUUGGAGGGCUUCAGUGGUGCAUAUAAGAGAUCUGGUGAACUAGAGACUCUUGCGUUAAAUGAAGUAAGCAGAAAGAGAAAGACAAGUACCAUAUGAUGAUAUCACUUCUAUGUGGAAUCUAACAUUUAGCACAAAUGAACCUAUCUACAGAAAAGGAAAAAACUCAUGGAUAUGGAGAACGGACGUGUGGUUGCCAAGGGGAAGGUGGAGGAAGAGGGAUGGACCAGGAGUUUAGGGAUCGUAGAUGCAAACUCUUGCAUUGGGAGUGGAUAAGCAAUGAGGUCCCGCUGUACAGCACAGGGAACUAUAUCCAAUCCCUUGUGAUGGAAUGUGAUGGCAGAGAAUAUGGGAAAAAGAAGACAUACAGAUAGACAUGUAUAUGGCUGGACCACUUUGCUGUACAGCAGAAAUUGACAGAACAUUGUAAAUCGACUAUAAUAAACAAUUAAAAAAAAAAAAGAUUUGGUGAAAAUAAACCUUGCAUCUGAGAAGGGCCUUGGCCCUUGGGGAUGGAGGCUCUUUCUAGCCUGGCAGCACCGGGACAGCAGAGCAUAGCCUAAGACUUCCUCCCACCUAAUCCUCCGUAAUCCCCAAUUGGAACAAUUAAUUUUACAAGGGGUCAGGCUCCUUUCCUCUGGAAUUUCCAUUGAGCACUUUACGAGGUGGACGCGUGUCCAUUGUGAUGCAUUUUGACAGCUCCUUUCACCUGGAGUUGAGAGUGUUCAUUGAUUUUUGGUCCGUAAAUUUUGGUGCUGUAAAUGGGGUGUAGCUGAAGUGUUCCCUUGAUCACAGAUCACGGGAAACAGCGUCGCUUAGGCAGGGGGAGAGAAAGAGAGCGUGAGGCUGAGGGUUUGGAAAUCACUUCCCUAAACCCGGGUCUCAAUCCACACAGUUGACUCAAAUGGGAAGGGAGCUGAGCACAGUGGGUUCCAGGCAGGAUGUCACGCUAGGAUCAGCAAGUUCAGUCCGAACCAAGAGAUUUGGGGGAAACGCAGGUUUUAGGCUCAGAAACUGGAAAACAAAAGAGAAAACAGAGCCUCAUACACUUGCCUGAUGCAACUUGAUUUCUCCGUGGGCGACGGUCACCCGAUAAAAGACUCAUAUUCCGACCACUGCACACCCAAAGGCGUUGUGUAAAUGGGCUUCGAUAAUCCAUACAUUUUAUCUCACUUCCUGUUUUAAAACCAGAAAAUUAUCAUUGUGUUUUUAAACAAUAUUUUUGCAACCUUUUGACCAUUAAUUCCAUUUUCUGGCCUCUAUUCAGGAACAAAUUUAGGGACUUUGAAUAAGUUAAAGUCUUCCAGUGCUCCUAUUUUCAAGAAAACAAUGUUUUGCUUUGUUCCCCCUACCCUCCCAGUGGUGGUUUUGUGUAUGUAUGUGUGUUUUGUUUUGUUCUGUGUUUGGUUUUGUUUUAGUUUUGGAAGAGAUGCAGGGAUGAAGAAAGAUGUAGCCUAUAUACCAUGAAAUAGCAGGCACCCAGAGUUCACAUCGGCGGUAACAAGUUUUCCAAUUGUUUGCAUAUUUAUUACCUCCUUUUACCUUCCCGGUGACCUUAUGAUUUGGCAGGUGCCAAUGCCCCCGUUUUGCCCAUAAGGAGACAGAGGCCUAGGCUGCGUGAGUUCUUUUGCCAACGCUACGAAGAAAGUCAGAACUAGAAGCUAAUCUAACCCUAGGCUCUUCUCCAUAAACUGCAUUGCUGCCAGGUCUCACCCGGUCUGUAGGGGAAUGGGCCUCUUUAACCCAAGGGACUCCAUCCUACGUGGUAGGAAGGUAGACGGGAAACAGAGCUUAGUGGGGCAGGCUGUUCAAAGCUCUUCUCUAUCUAAUAAUUCAUGUAGUCAUCACAACAAGCUUAUCCUGUACGGACUAGUGGUGGUGGAAUUUUUACAGGCGAGAAAAUGACCAGCAAAGAGGACACGGUAGUGGCCCAAGUUCACACAGCUCCUAAGUGACAGAGCUGGGGUUUGAACUCAGGGACCCUUGUCUACCAUUCUUGUUUCACUUUCUAAAUUCAGUCCCAUCCUUUUUUUAUCUCCCUUGAUAGUAAGCACGAGCUUCGUCACCUACAAAGCACUUAAUAAGUGUUUUAUGGGUUGGGAAGGAAAGCCUGACACCCUUUUGUCUGCCUGCCUCUGAGCCCGAGGCUGGGCUUUCCAGCCUCUGCACUGUGAUGCUGGGGGCCUUUCUGGGCCCUGUAGGAGGUUUAACAGCAUCCCGAGGGCCUCUACCCGCUGAUGCCACUAGUGUGGUCCAAAGGGCAUUCUCAAAAAUAUCUCCAGAUAUUGCCAAAGAUCCAAGGUGGGGGUAAGAAGUGAUGGGAAAAGCACUCCAAGACUGAGAAGUCUUGGUCAAGGGCAUAAAUAGGAAGUACAGUCCUAAAGGAGAAUCUGGCCGGUCGGGCCUUUCCAAGAAUCCCGUUUCAGGAGUGCUCUCACGUGACUGCCUUUUCUCGAGACAGCCCAGGAAAGAGAAUGGAGGCUUGUGCCAAUGCUGGUGGGGUGACAUCCUUGGAUCUAAGCAAUAUACCAAGCGUACGAGGGAUAGGACGGCGGGUGGUGGGGGACCCCUGAUGGGGAGAGGAUUUCAUGGUGUUACCAGCGCUCCUACAGGACUCCAGGCCCGUUCCCGCAGCACCUUCCCGAAAGGAAAGGAAGGAGGCUCCCUGGGCGGUAAUGGAUCUGCUGCCCAGAGGCACUGAGAGGCAGACACGGUCCCCCGGUCAGGACCCAGCUUUGAAGACCGUCUCCUAGGGGCCUUGGAUGGAGGAACUCCAGAGCCUGCUUAUCUUUCAGCCUGGGAGACAUUUGUGUGUUUUCUGAGUCAUCGGACACACAGAGCGCAGGGCUUUCCUGAUUGAUGAGGAAACCUGAUGUACUCAUUUAUAAAAACAAUGAGGUCAUUGGAAGACCCAUAAAACUGAAGUUUGCUGUCCAAGUUCAGAUCGAGUUUGUUAUUCACCUCAUGGUUCCAAGCUUAUUUAACAAGCCAGUUUUGACAAUCGAAUUUUAUCAGAGAUGUAAGAAAAGACUCAAAAACGUCCAUAGACAUUUAUUAACAUCACGUUGGAUAAAAUAAAAGAAAAAUGAGAGAGAAGAAAUUACAGAUAGGCUUGCACCUUUAGGAAGGCUCAAAAUAUUUGAAAAUCUGAUUACGAAAGUACCAAACAUCUUAACUUCUUUCCCUGAGGUGAGGUGGCAGAAUAGAAUAGAAACUAUUGAGACAGAUCGUUCCCAAGCAAGUCACCAAGAAUUUUUUAGGUGUAAAAAUGGAUGUUAUUUUCAUCACUCACUACUGUCAUACGAAAUAUGUGGGCUUUAGAGAUGUUCAGACAGUUGUCUAAACUCCUUUUGGAAGUUCGCCAAGCCUUAUAACUUUCCUGAGCCUCAUCUCCAUAUGUAAACAUGUAGAUAAUACUGAUUCCAUAAAGCUUUUUGGUGCUCAAGAGAGGAUGCUUUUAAAAUUUAGCAAAAUACUUGAACUGGUUACUCAUUAAAUAGAUGCUAUUAUCAUGUGAUCAUCCCUAAUCUCCUUAUGACAGCUCACUUAGACAGGUGCAUAUCUGCUUUUCCAGGAUUUGAAGUGAUGGUUUCUUUUUUUAAAAAAUAACAUUUAUUAGAGUAUAGUUGACUUUCAAAAUUGUAUUUGUUUCCGGUCUGAUUCCAGAGUCAGUGCUCUUAAGCAGAAUCCAGUACGACCUCACAAGAAGUGAUGACAAUGCAUUGCUCUUUGUCAUGUCAUUAGUGAUGUAACUCCGAUGACUGAUACGCUAUAAAUCCUGGUAUAACGUGGUUGAGAGAGAACGUUGAGGAGAGUUAGGAGAGAGAUUGAAAUCCGUGCCUAAAAUCAUCAGUGGAAAAACAGCAGUGCAUGUAUAUUUAAACACAUGGAGUUAAAGGCAGAGAGGGGGAGAGAUUUGUGGAAGGCAUUUGUCUGAGUAAGGACUCAGGUGUGGAAAAGGAUGGACAGGGAAGAAAAUUCACUUAUUAUUAUUGGCUGUCCUGUGCUACUUGCAUUUUCAAUUCUACACCUUGUAUUGUAGUUAAAAUAAAAUCAAAGAUACAGUAGUUCAAAAUUAAAACACAACUUUUUAAAACUUUUUAGAAAGUGCUUUUGUAGUGAUUGACAAUUGCCUUUGUAGACUUUGGGCAGAAGAGAGACAAAAAGGUUUGGGAACAGAAGGAUCGUUUAACUGUCAGACGACCUUAUAUAGUCCUAUGUUUUUUCUCCUAAAAGGUUAUAUUGCUGCCUUUGUGAUCUGUAGGUGGUGCCUUACUCAUUGAGUUACCAGGAGCCAAGGUCAAUUUUAUCUCCUUCAGAUAUCAGAAGAGCAAGGACACAAUGGGUAACUUACGUCUCUAUGCAUCCCACUAACCAGGGGGUGGAGACCA